rnacentral:hammerhead_ribozyme from 1 species
GUAUUGCCGAAGAGUGCCGAAAUAGGACGAAACGACCGUCCAGUGC